rnacentral:rRNA from 1 species
AAGAGACAGCAGUCGCCGCGGUAAUACAGAGGGUGCGAGCGUUAAUCGGAUUUACUGGGCGUAAAGCGUGCGUAGGCGGCUUUUUAAGUCGGAUGUGAAAUCCCUGAGCUUAACUUAGGAAUUGCAUUCGAUACUGGGAAGCUAGAGUAUGGGAGAGGAUGGUAGAAUUCCAGGUGUAGCGGUGAAAUGCGUAGAGAUCUGGAGGAAUACCGAUGGCGAAGGCAGCCAUCUGGCCUAAUACUGACGCUGAGGUACGAAAGCAUGGGGAGCAAACAGGAUUAGAUACCCCCGUAGUCCUGUCUCUUAUACA